CUGGGGCGGUCUCCUCCUAAAGAGUAACGGAGGAGCACGAAGGUUGGCUAAUCCUGGUCGGACAUCAGGAGGUUAGUGCAAUGGCAUAAGCCAGCUUGACUGCGAGCGUGACGGCGCGAGCAGGUGCGAAAGCAGGUCAUAGUGAUCCGGUGGUUCUGAAUGGAAGGGCCAUCGCUCAACGGAUAAAAGGUACUCCGGGGAUAACAGGCUGAUACCGCCCAAGAGUUCAUAUCGACGGCGGUGUUUGGCACCUCGAUGUCGGCUCAUCACAUCCUGGGGCUGAAGUAGGUCCCAAGGGUAUGGCUGUUCGCCAUUUAAAGUGGUACGCGAGCUGGGUUUAGAACGUCGUGAGACAGUUCGGUCCCUAUCUGCCGUGGGCGCUGGAGAACUGAGGGGGGCUGCUCCUAGUACGAGAGGACCGGAGUGGACGCAUCACUGGUGUUCGGGUUGUCAUGCCAAUGGCACUGCCCGGUAGCUAAAUGCGGAAGAGAUAAGUGCUGAAAGCAUCUAAGCACGAAACUUGCCCCGAGAUGAGUUCUCCCUGACCCUUUAAGGGUCCUGAAGGAACGUUGAAGACGACGACGUUGAUAGGCCGGGUGUGUAAGCGCAGCGAUGCGUUGAGCUAACCGGUACUAAUGAACCGUGAGG
rnacentral:rRNA from 1 species